rnacentral:snRNA from 1 species
GUGUUCCUUUGGCAGCACUUAUAUACUAAAUAUUUGAAUGAUACUUCAGAGAUUGGCAUGGCUCCUGCACAAGGAUGACACAAAUUAAUGAAACAUUCAAUUUUUUU